GACGAACGCUGGCGGCGUGCUUAACACAUGCAAGUCGAACGGAAAGGCCCUGCUUUUGUGGGGUGCUCGAGUGGCGAACGGGUGAGUAACACGUGAGUAACCUGCCCUUGACUUUGGGAUAACUUCAGGAAACUGGGGCUAAUACCGGAUAGGAGCUCCUGCUGCAUGGUGGGGGUUGGAAAGUUUCGGCGGUUGGGGAUGGACUCGCGGCUUAUCAGCUUGUUGGUGGGGUAGUGGCUUACCAAGGCUUUGACGGGUAGCCGGCCUGAGAGGGUGACCGGCCACAUUGGGACCGAGAUACGGCCCAGACUCUUACGGGAGGCAGCAGUGGGGAAUAUUGCACAAUGGGCGGAAGCCUGAUGCAGCAACGCCGCGUGCGGGAUGACGGCCUUCGGGUUGUAAACCGCUUUCGCCUGUGACGAAGCGUGAGUGACGGUAAUGGGUAAAGAAGCACCGGCUAACUACGUG
rnacentral:rRNA from 1 species